rnacentral:misc_RNA from 1 species
GAUGAAGAACGCAGCGAAAUGCGAUAAGUAAUGCGAAUUGCAGAAUCCGUGAGUCAUCGAAUCUUUGAACGCACAUUGCGCCCACUGGUAUUCCGGUGGGCAUGCCUGUUCGAGCGUCAUUAUCCUCCCUCAAACCCCGGGUUUGGUGUUGGACCCAAGUUGUGUGAACAACUGGUCUCAAAGACAAUGACGGCGUCCGUGGGACCCUCGGUGCAACGAGCUUUUAGGAGCACGCAUCGAGUUGCAAGGACCUUCCGGGCCGGUCUCCUUUACCAUUUUACAAGGUUGACCUCGGAUCAGGUAGGAAUACCCGCUGAACUUAAGCAUAUCAAUAAGCGGAGGA